AUGACAAAUCUCGGUGCUGAAGAAGAAGUCGAAUCAUGUCAUUAUCAAUUCGAACUACCAAAGCAUAGUUUAAUGUUUUACGGUUUUUGGGUUAUAUUUAUUGUAAUAAUUGUAGUUAUGACACAUUUUAAUGAUUACUCAGAGCCGAUUGUCCCAUGGGAUAAUUGUGAUAUGAAUAACACCUGGGAGCCUACAACGCGACCUUUCAUUAAUAAAAUGCAGCUAAAAAGUGAACUUUUAAAAAUUGCAAGUUUCCGAGAAAAAAAUCGUUUAUAUCGACGGAAUAAUUUUACAAGAAUCGAAUAUGGCACCUCCUUGUUAUCAUAUUGUAAAUCAGAUGGGCAAUUAAUAUGUGACUGGUAUAAUAAGAAAGCUUUCGUACCAGUUCCUGGUGGUCAUUUUGUAAAGUCAAUCACAAGAACCAUUGAACUCGACCCAUAUUUUUCUUCUGGAUUGCGGUUUUUAGUUUUGGAAUGUAUGAGUUUUCGAAUGACAAUGGCUUUAGUCCGAACAACCGAUGUUCUUACGAGUAAGAUAAAUCCAUUUCCACGAGUUAUUCAAUUUUUGUUAUCAUCUGCACCUUGGAUAUCCUUUCUACAGUCUUUAUCAUUGUUUUUGAUAACUUCUCUUCACUCGGAAUUCGAUAAAGAAUAUCCCGUAUGCGUUUUCAAUGGUGGGAGCAUUCACAUUUCUUGAGAUGCUGAUCGAUCUUCUUCAUGAUGCUUUUGACGGAAGAUUUGUUUUUAUUCAAACUCCGAGAUUCUACAUCAAAUCCAUCUUCUUUGUCACAUUUUCAGCUUGCUUUCCGCAUGUUAUUCUAACUUGGAUGCAGUUUCAAAAGCUGAAAAGAUGUCACGCAUAUGUUCCACUAAUUGAUGGAUUAUUCGAAUACAUUUGUGCUGCUGCAAUCAUUGCGUACAACUUUAUAAAUGCUCAAACUCGAAUACAAACGUUUAUUUCGCCUACUGUAAGAGAUGUCCGUAAUGUUUCUUCCUAUUCUAGUGAUGUCUAUAGUCCCGUUUGUUAUAGAGAAAAAUCAAUGAUUUAUGAAAGUUUAAGCGAUAGAAAAUAG
rnacentral:misc_RNA from 1 species